GGAUUAUAUUUUUCCCAGUAAAAUUCGUUUUCAUUGAUAUGGACAAGAAUCAUUUGCAUUACCGUGAGCUGUCUAUAACUUCUACCCACAGAGAGCUGUAAAAUAGCCCAGCUGAUUGAAGUCAGCCAAAGGUACUCAUCUUGGUAAGAGUAGGUAAUCCCUGGAGAUCCACGGGAUAAUACACAGUACUCCAGGGAGAGGACACCCAGUGCUUGGCUUUGUUUGUUUCCAAGUCUUUGUCAGUUUUUGCUGACACCACAAACCCUCCUCUGGUUUCCCUGGUGACAGGGCCGCCUGACUCUCUCCCUUCUGUUUCUCGUCUGUCCUUACGGCAUAAGCUCCAUGUCCAUCUUCCCUCUGGGCUCUUCCCUUUGGUUCCAAAGAGCUUAUUGUAGAAGUUAAAAAAAAAAAAAACAUACAGUAAAGAGAUUAGCAUAAUCCUAAUUAUCCUCUAGGCAAUGCAGAAAAGAAAAAAACAUAAGGAUAAACAUAUUGAGAUUUGCUCUUGCUCCAGCACAAUUCCCUGAAAGACUUCUUCUAAGCCUGGUAUCCUGGGAGUGGCAGUGUUUUCAGCGUGGCAGACGGAGCAGUCAGGAAGCUGGGAGCCCAAACAGCAUGAGACAAAGCCGCGAAACAGAGGCCGUGCAUCUGUCGGUUGCCUCUCUCUGGUCACCCUCCUCUAGCCACAUAGUGCCGGUGCUAUGUGCCAGACAUACUCCAAUGAACAAGAUCCCUAGAGUCUCUGCUCUACUUUGACUUAAAUCCUCAGGGAAGGGGCAGAACUAAAGAUGGAGCCCAUUCCUGAUGGGCUGUGGGCCGCCUAUGGAGGUAAGUGUUGUUAUCAUGUCCAUUUUAGAGUUGAGCAAACUGAGGUUUGCUCAGCAAGUUAAAUGCCCAUCAAGUUAAAUGACUUGCCCAUGGUCACAAGGCUUGAAAGUGAAAGAGGUGGAAAUUGAACCUGGGUUUACCUGACCCAAAGUCAAUGUGUUAUGCUACCUUUUACUUUGCCUUUCAAAGGACAGUGCUUCAUAUACAUGUGAAGACUGCAGUCAAAUUCUUGAAGAAUCGUUCUUCUCAGAAUGAUACAUCUCUAUUCUAAUUGCCCAUGCCUCCCUAGAUUGAGUGUUCUCAAGUGUAGGGCCUGGGCCAUAUUUAAUUUAACAUCUUUGGAGUUGAGCGUCUUGUCUGUCACAUAGUAAGAACCUCAAAACCCAAGAAACUUUGAUUUGAUUCCCAGCUCCACCAAGACUGUUGACCUUGGACAAUUUGCUCAGUCUUUCUGGCCUCAGUGAUUCCACCUAUAAAGUGAGCCUCAAUUGUAAAGCUUGCUACUAUGGUGUCUAAUAAGCCUCCCAGAUGCUUUAUUUGGAUCAGAAGUUAUGAGUUUAGAGAUAUCAUUGCCAUGGAUGGCAAAGGCUUCAACUUAGUUCUGGUUCCUUGAGGUAUUUGGCCAUGUAAGUUUCUAUGACUUUCAGCCCUGUAAAAUGAGGAAAAAAUACCUUCCUCAAAGUAUUGACAGGAAGAUAAAAAAUAACAUACAUUGUAAUAAUGAGACUAGCUGCCAUUUUUGAGCACUUACCAUGUGCGACGAUCUCUGCUACACCUCUUUCACGUUAUUGCUUGAAA
ensembl:lncRNA